rnacentral:rRNA from 1 species
UCCAAGUAAUUCGCGGGGGCCCGCACAAGCGGUGGAGCAUGUGGUUUAAUUCGAAGCAACGCGAAGAACCUUACCAGGUCUUGACAUCCUUUGACCACUCUAGAGAUAGAGCUUUCCCUUCGGGGACAAAGUGACAGGUGGUGCAUGGUUGUCGUCAGCUCGUGUCGUGAGAUGUUGGGUUAAGUCCCGCAACGAGCGCAACCCUUAUUGUUAGUUGCCAUCAUUUAGUUGGGCACUCUAGCGAGACUGCCGGUGACAAACCGGAGGAAGGUGGGGAUGACGUCAAAUCAUCAUGCCCCUUAUGACCUGGGCUACACACGUGCUACAAUGGGAAGUACAACGAGUCGCUAGACCGCGAGGUCAUGCAAAUCUCUUAAAGCUUCUCUCAGUUCGGAUUGCAGGCUGCAACUCGCCUGCAUGAAGCCGGAAUCGCUAGUAAUCGCGGAUCAGCACGCCGCGGUGAAUACGUUCCCGGGCCUUGUACACACCGCCCGUCACACCACGAGAGUUUGUAACACCCGAAGUUGUUGUUUGAUCCGGCUCAGAUAACGCGC